GUCUAGUGAUAAAAUAAUUGUGCACGUCCCCUUUAAGAGUUUGUUAGUAAUACACUGUCUAAAAACGUGGCUUUGCCCAGCAGGUUAGUUCAUUUCUUUGUGAUUGGCCCUUGUCCUUCUUAUUCCCGCCUCUGCAGGUAUACUGAGAAUUCUGAUUGGAUGAAGGGGUGGAGUUUAGAACUGCAGAUUGGUGUGAGAGGUUUGUUGUUUGUCUCCUGCGAGUUUUAAGGCUAAUAUAUAGAGUAAAUAACCACUGACAAAGUGUGUUAAAGCGUCUGUAUUUGGCUGACCGAGUGUUAUUACUACUUUUAUUUGUGUAUAUAAUGUGUACAAGAGUAAAGUUUACGACUUGUUUCUUCUGAGUCUGCUGCACAGAGCAGCCGAAGCUACGCUAAUUCUCGUGACUAUCUGACUGCUUUCCUACACUUUAGUUUAGUUAACGAUGUGACUGGGAGGAAUUCAUGGACCAGUUGGGACUUACCUCGGACGUGCUUUGGAGUAUCGUUGCUAUGGCGGUAAAGGAUUGUGCUGCUGUUCGGUAGAGGAGGGACUACAGAAAGAUCUACAGCUUCAGAGGAGGGAAUUUCGUGUUCCAGCCGCCUGGGAAGCCGUUCAGCCGACCAGAGUCCGCUCUUCCAGAACCAGAACCCAUGCAGGUGGAUCCUACUGGUCUCUCACUGUCAGAGCGUCAUGGAAGACUUACUCUAGGAUUGUGUCUAUACUGUGGAGCAUCGGGGCAUACCAUCAUCUCAUGCCCCAUUCGCCCACCACCACCACAUCUGCCGAUCAACAUGAAUAGACACCAGACAUACAGAACAUCUGCUGAGGUUCUGUUGUUGGUGUCUUCGAUGUUAGGAAACAUACCUGAGGCAGUUUUAUCAGAUAAAACACCUUUGCCAUUACUGCGGAGUUGUUUGAUGGCUCUAAUUUUGUUCAUGGCAUGCAAAGACCUGGACGUAGAAAAUUGAAUUUUCUGAAAUCAAAAUUUUUUCUUUUUGGGAAUUGCUGUCCUUAUUUUUAGUGUUUUUUUUUUGUUAUUGUUAAUUUUAUUAUGUUGUUGUUUAGUUCUUUUUUAAAUAAAAAAAAUAAAUGUUUACCUCUCACUGUUUAUUAUUUAGUUAGGUUUUUUUAUUUGUUGUAUAUUUUAAGUAUUGUUCUGUU